GACGAACGCUGGCGGCGUGCUUAACACAUGCAAGUCGAACGCUGAAGCACCAGCUUGCUGGUGUGGAUGAGUGGCGAACGGGUGAGUAAUACGUGAGUAACCUGCCCUUGACUCUGGGAUAAGCCCGGGAAACUGGGUCUAAUACUGGAUGCUACAUGUCACCGCAUGGUGGUGUGUGGAAAGGGUUUACUGGUCUUGGAUGGGCUCACGGCCUAUCAGCUUGUUGGUGAGGUAAUGGCUCACCAAGGCGACGACGGGUAGCCGGCCUGAGAGGGUGACCGGCCACACUGGGACUGAGACACGGCCCCGACUCCUACGGGAGGCAGCAGUGGGGAAUAUUGCACAAUGGGCGACAGCCUGAUGCAGCGACGCCGCGUGAGGGAUGACGGCCUUCGGGUUGUAAACCUCUUUCAGCAGGGAAGAAGCCACAAGUGACGGUACCUGCAGAAGAAGCGCCGGCUAACUACGUG
rnacentral:rRNA from 1 species